rnacentral:antisense_RNA from 1 species
UUUGGCAUUGGGUUUACGGGUGACGAUACCGUUACCCACCGCAUGCAGUAGAUGGGUUUUACCCAGUCCGGUUCCACCGUA